AUUGAACGCUGGCGGCAUGCCUUACACAUGCAAGUCGAACGGCAGCACGGGAGCUUGCUCCUGGUGGCGAGUGGCGAACGGGUGAGUAAUACAUCGGAACGUACCCAGUAGUGGGGGAUAACGCACCGAAAGGUGCGCUAAUACCGCAUACGACCUACGGGUGAAAGCGGGGGACCGUAGGCCUCGCGCUAUUGGAGCGGCCGAUGUCAGAUUAGGUUGUUGGUGGGGUAAAGGCCUACCAAGCCGACGAUCUGUAGCUGGUCUGAGAGGACGACCAGCCACACUGGGACUGAGACACGGCCCAGACUCCUACGGGAGGCAGCAGUGGGGAAUUUUGGACAAUGGGGGCAACCCUGAUCCAGCCAUGCCGCGUGCGGGAAGAAGGCCUUCGGGUUGUAAACCGCUUUUGUCAGGGAAGAAACGCUCUGAGUUAAUACCUCGGGGUAAUGACGGUACCUGAAGAAUAAGCACCGGCUAACUACGUGCCAGCCGCCGCAGUAAAAC
rnacentral:rRNA from 1 species